rnacentral:lncRNA from 1 species
AAAUAGCAAUAGAAAAGAAUACAACAAUUUUUUUUUUGACACAAGGAAAACACAACAUUUUAUUACCGGCAAUAGAGCAAUUGCAAUUUAGGAGACACAAUCAACAUGAUUUAUACUACAAACAACUAACAACACUAGCUAUGGACUAGGGGAAAAAUUAUAAAAUAGAAUAAAAUAUGGUAACACAGACACAUAUUUCUUUUUUGACUUAAACACAAACACAUAUUAUAACUUAAUUAAUUCAUCUGCAAGAUAUAUAUAAUAUAUCUAUAAUCAAAGCAUGUUUCCCAGAUAAUCUCUUGAUUGAGAAGUCACUUUGCAACCUAGAGAUACUUGUUCG